rnacentral:rRNA from 1 species
UGGGGGAUAUUGCACAAUGGGGGAAACCCUGAUGCAGCAACGCCGCGUGAGGGAAGAAGGUUUUCGGAUUGUAAACCUCUGUCCCGGGCGAAGAAGGAAUGACGGUAGCCCGGGAGGAAGCUCCGGCUAACUACGUGCCAGCAGCCGCGGUAAUACGUAGGGAGCGAGCGUUGUCCGGAAUUACUGGGUGUAAAGGGUGCGUAGGCGGCCUCGUGGGUCAGGCGUGAAAUACAUGAGCUUAACUCAUGGACUGCGCUUGAAACUGCAAGGCUUGAGUGAAGUAGAGGCAGGCGGAAUUCCCGGUGUAGCGGUGAAAUGCGUAGAGAUCGGGAGGAACACCAGUGGCGAAGGCGGCCUGCUGGGCUUUAACUGACGCUGAGGCACGAAAGCAUGGGUAGCAAACAGG